UGGCUCAGGACGAAACGCUGGCGGCGUGCCUAAUACAUGCAAGUCGAGCGGAACCAUUGGAGCUUGCUCCUUUUGGUUUAGCGGCGGACGGGGUGAGUAACAACGUGGGCAACCUGCCCUGCAGAUCGGGAUAAACUCCGGGAAACCGGUGCUAAUACCGAAUAGGUUUGCGGCCUCUCAUGAGGCUGUACGGAAAGACGGGUUUCGGCUGUCACUGCAGGAUGGGCCCGCGGCGCAUUAGCUAGUUGGUGGGGUAACGGCCCACCAAGGCGACGAUGCGUAGCCGACCUGAGAGGGUGAUCGGCCACACUGGGACUGAGACACGGCCCAGACUCCUACGGGAGGCAGCAGUAGGGAAUCUUCCGCAAUGGACGAAAGUCUGACGGAGCAACGCCGCGUGAGUGAAGAAGGUUUUCGGAUCGUAAAACUCUGUUGUGAGGGAAGAACAAGUACCAAGUAACUACUGGUACCUUGACGGUACCUCACCAGAAAGCCACGGCUAACUACGUGCCAGCAGCCGCGGUAAUACGUAGGUGGCAAGCGUUGUCCGGAAUUAUUGGGCGUAAAGCGCGCGCAGGCGGUCCUUUAAGUCUGAUGUGAAAGCCCACGGCUCAACCGUGGAGGGUCAUUGGAAACUGGGGGACUUGAGUGCAGAAGAGGAAAGUGGAAUUCCACGUGUAGCGGUGAAAUGCGUAGAGAUGUGGAGGAACACCAGUGGCGAAGGCGACUUUCUGGUCUGUAACUGACGCUGAGGCGC
rnacentral:rRNA from 1 species